rnacentral:misc_RNA from 1 species
GAUGAAGAACGCAGCGAAAUGCGAUAAUUAAUGUGAAUUGCAGAAUUCCGUGAAUCAUCGAGUCUUUGAACGCACAUUGCGCCUCGUGGCAUUCCGUGAGGCAUGCCCAUCUCAGCGUUAGAAAAUAUUCUCAAAUUUUAGUUUUGUGCUAAAAUUUGGAUCAUGUCAAGGAAGCUAUUACUAUUAUUGUGAUCGCUCUUUGGAAAUUGAUAGGUCUUUGAGUUGCUACUCAUAGAACGUGAUGAAUCUUUCUUCGUUCUAUUGUAAUUCACUCUGGUAGUCCUAAAAGUUGUAUGCCUGUGGCAUAUCUUGUAAUUUGACCUGAGAUUGGGUAGGGAUACCCGCUGAACUUAAGCAUAUCAAUAAGCGGAGGA